UGAAUGCAUUAUUAAUUAAUUAUUACUUGACCUACUCUUUCUCAUCAUCUUUCUUUUAACCAGUCAGAUGUCUUUGGUGUGAAAACUUUUUCCUGUCAUCUCGCUACUUUUAGUGUAGCUUAAUUCAUUAUUCACAAGAUGUUACACUCUGAUAUUUGGUAGCUUUAAAUGAAUUGAUUGUGGUAUUAAUUAUCCACAAAUCAGUGUACACAUUAAAACUACCACAACAGCGUCAUCUCAUUUUCUGUUUUGUCAAAGAACUUAGGGUUUUAAUGACCCUAGUUUGAGCCUGCUCGUACUUUUAAUGGUGUAGUUUUUUGACUAUAUGGUUUCACAGAUUUCUAUGGUUUUCAGGUAAUUUCUAAAAAGUUUUUAUAGUGUGCAACAAACCAACUUUCCUCUUCAGUUCUGUCUUUUCCUGGAUGCCAUAUUAAUUUUUAAAAUGAAAAUUAUCUUUAUAGCUACUUGCUAGUGAACAGUAAUAGGAAUAAAGGGGAAUGUUAAUUCCCAGGCACCUAUCACAACAUUUAAUGACCCUAUGGAAAGAACAGGAGUUGAUGAGUAAGUAUAGCUGCUACUUCCCAGAACUAUGAAAUUGAAUUAUGAAUCUGUUAAAGUGUACAUGAUGGUCGUGUUUAACUUUACUGAGGCAAAUAGCUUCCCUGGGAAUAUCCUGAUGUGGUAAUGAAAUAUUUUCUAGACCACUUAAAUUGCUUUUCAUCUUUCUUUUUUUUCUUUUUCUUUUUCUUUUUUUUUUUUUUGUAGAGGGUAUGUUUUAAUACUGAGACAUUGAUUAUAUUGCCUAUAUCAGACUUAUGUAAGCAAUACUUUUUCUGAUGUGCUGUGGUGUUUACUGUGGCAAUAUUUAAAGGUUCCAGUCAGAACUGAGUAUCGUCCUAGGUACUGUACAGUCAUGCUGUAGAUGCCAGUGUCCAGUUGUGAAAAUAAAUCUUGGGAGAAGAGAACUAUUCCAGAGCUCUUUGGGGUUUAGUACCUUUGUGUUUUCUUUGUCUUGCUGCUGUUUCCUUCUUUCAUUUUCUCUGUAUUCUCUAAGUCUUUUCUGCUUCAAAAAUAGUAAGCAAACUUUUUUGUUUUAGUUACUGUGUUGUAUGGGGAUAUUUUGAAAGGUUUACCUCUCAGUACUACUGCUGCCUCGUAGGGGUACAUGUGAUAGUUUGUUGUUGGUCCUGUUCCCAAAAGUUCUCUCUGGGAGAGUUCUUUGCUAUGAAAACCUUAUGCCUGUAACUGCUUUUGUCACACUAUAAAGUUCUAAUUGCUUUUAAAAUGAGAUGAUAGAAGUUAGUGUUUUAAAUAAUGUGCUGUCAAUUUUAGGAAUACCUUUGUGUUUUUUACUCCUUACAUAUUUUAAAAUUUUUGACCUGCUAUUGCCAGUUAAGUAGAGGUUCUUAUUGUGAUUUGCCUAGUGAUGCACAUGUCUCUUCCUGAAACAUUUUUGUCUGCUUAGUUUGGAAGUUAUCUUUUUUUGAAAUGAUUAAAGUGGUGUACAUGCCUGUAUGGGGGAGAGGCCAUAAUUUUUACAUAACUCUUCUGACACUUUACCCUUGGAGCUCUUUGUGUUGCUUCUUAGCCAUUUCUAAGUCAUGCAGAACAGUCCUACAGAAGUAUUUGGAUGGGGUCAUGAAGUAGAAAUCGUCUUUGAGUAAAAUCUUUCAAGGUUUGUACUUUAAAUAGUCAUUUGUGAGCUGCGCGUAGCUAAGACUUGUGAAGAUACCUGCUGAGAUUGUAAAAAAAAAAAGAAGGGUACUUUUUUCAUUUAAUGAUCAUAUAUACUGCCUUGUCCUUGCAUCAGGCUUGUGACCUUUUUUUUCAGUGUCACUUUAGAGAACAUCAUUGUCUGCACAAUGAGCUGAUAUGUCCAUUUUCUUUAUUGUGUAAGGUAAUACGGAUGCUGGGGAAUACUGUACAUGGAGCCAAGGCCAUAUCUAGCUUAGCUGGUGAUGAGCAGGAGCUGACAUAUGGGCCCUCACUGGAUGUGUGCCUCUCUGGACUCUGUUUUCAGGUCCAAGCGGUCUUUGACUAGGUGCAGUGUGAACCUGUUAAGAUUCUGUGCUCUGCUGCAUCCAAACUAAUAAAUCCUUCUGGAAUAAGUAAACUGGGGAAUUUAAUGCAGAGACAGCUAUGUAGGUCUGCAAAAGCCAGUUUGUAUCUUGUAGGGCUUAUUAGUUCUUUCCCACUGCCUGUUGUGUUUCACCUGACUGGCUCCAUACAUGGUCUUUCCAACUUCUUCUUUACUUAGCAGCUGGUAAUAGGAGCACAGUUUAGGAAGACCUUACCUGUAUAGGGCCAGCAUGUUACUGAUAGGGUCAAUUAGUUUAAACUCAUUACUGUAGCAGAAACAUCUAUUUUCAAGGCCUAAGCUUAGUCAUGGAAGCAAUGCAGCUGUAUUUUAUGAUACUAUUUAAAAUAAUAAAUCCUAGACUACCAAAAGCCACUCAGAUAUCUCUGCAUGCAGCUCCAGUGCAGUUUAGUUGGGGUUACCUUUGGUCGUGGCUUUUCUUUUUUAUAAACCUGGCUCAAAGUAUUUAAUCAGUGAAAUAUUUCAUAUGGGCAAGUCUAGCAGCAUGCUUAUAAUUUGUGUGCCCUGUUUGGUGUGACUUGCCUCAAUUCAUCAAAAACCUUUUAAUAAAACCCUAGUCUGGGAGACUUAUUUUUUGUACUGUUGUAGCACUUGGAGACCCUAGUCCUGGAAUAUGAUCUUGCAUACCUGAAGAUUGUUGAACAAUCACAAAGAUGACUCUCCUUGACCAAAGGAGUACAGUCCUUCUUGUUAGAGGGCAUAAAUACAGCAUGGCUUCCAGGAUGGCUUUUCUUAACUGUGUGUGUAUGAGAACAGCAUUCGUUUUGUCACACUAAUAACCUAAGUCAGUAAAUUCUGUGUGUAUUGGGGAGUUAAGGGCAGAAUCUUGAGCAGGAAUUUGAAUACGUUAAUUUUGCAGACAUUCAUGAUAAGGAACUGCUAGACAUUAGGGACACUUCUAGAAAGCAUGAAAAUAGGCUUGCUAGGAAAUAAAUGUAUAUGGAGGUUGAUGUUGUAGGUCAAAUGAAGGUGAAAGUUGCUUUUUGAUGCUAAAUGAGAGUCCAUAGGGUGUAGGAUACCAUGCGACAACUGCUUGUAACAAACAAGGAAAAGGAAAGUGAGGAUAAAGCUGAAAAGUGGUAAGGUUCAAAUAUCUUUGACACAGAAACUGUUUUGGUAUUUGUAUGAUGUUUGGCGCAAAGGGUCCUAAGGUCCUUUCUGUGCUGCUGUUUUGAUACAGAUAUGUGAAAUAUUUGUCUUAGGAAUUUUUUAAAUCUCUUAAAUGUGCUAACUAGUUGUCAUGUUGGUCUGUAAAUAUUUUCUGUUGUUCUGCAUUUCUUCAAUUUUCUUCCUUAAUUUUUUUGCCUCCUUUUGCAGUCUGAGGACCUCUGUUUGCAUUUUUCUUUUAUACUGUUUUUUAAUUUUUUGUUCUGUUUUGCUUUGUUUUGUUCGGCCUUAUGUGGAACAUUGUGAACAGGGAUGUGAGCAAUGGGAGAUGGUAACAGUAGAUGAGUAAUGGAUGUAGGUAUGGGGAAAAGUACAAAGAUGAUGAUUAAAAGGCAUGGUAGGAAGAACAAUAGUAACUGCAAGUUAUAUCCUGUUCUCUAUUGGUAGCUCCAGUUAAUAAACAAAAACAAACAUGUCAUUCAAAGCAGAGAGUAUUGCAGCAGCUCCUGUCAAAAUACUCUGAUAUAGCUGGAGAAACUAAAAAUAGCUGUAGCUUUAAAUUAAACUUUUAAAAGCUCCAAAUGUACUCCUCUUGCAACAGUUUUACCAGGGAACCAGAAGUAACGUACAGAGUUCUUGUUCUGUAAUUUUUUAAUAUAGUGCUCAGGGGAAUGAGAUAGGCAUUGUAUAGUCUUUUCCAUACAACUCUUUUUUUAUCUAAAUUUCUAGGGUAGGAGCCAGUUAGCUAAGAUCACCAAUGCUUAGUGAUCUAGGAAUUGGAAUGAACGAGUAUGCGCUAAGUUCUGUAGAUGUGUUCUUGAUACAAGCCUUAGUCUCUAAAUCUGUUAUGCUCCUGAAGUUAUUUACUGUCCCCUCACUUUCCCAAGAUGACUGUGGUGGCCAUUCUCUUAGCUAGGUAGGUAUAUUAGAAUGGGACUCUUUUUCCAGCCUCUCAAGUUUAGUUUUCAGUUUUUUAGUGCUGCUUUUUACUGAGUUCAGUUCUGCUAAUCUUUUACAUGUCUAGGUCCUCUGACUUUAUGGAAAGGGGUAAUGCAUCUGCCUUACAGCCCCACAAUAAACAUGUUAUUUCAGGUACCAGUUAAUGUUUCCCUCUUACACAACUGAAAGAUACUUGCAUGAUGCUGUCAUAGUUUCUGUGUAAACUACAAGUCUUUAGCUUUGUGCUGUUUUUGAGGGCAUCCUUCUGCAGUUGUGGAUAGCCAUCAAUAACCUCUCCCAAUUAAGGGUCUGUGAGCUUUACUGGAACCUUUGGCUGUGCACUUUGGCAGUCCAUUCUGGGCAUGUAAGCAUAUUUCAGUUCCACUUUCCAAGGGGCUGUCUCAAGGAUAUCCAGUGACUACCUGGCUUUUCAGAAGCAAAAUACUGUCCAGUUAUUUUAGGUGGUAUAUAACACAUGUGUGUAUAAUUUAUUGUGUGGUCAUCCAUUUCCGCACGAAUUUCAGUCAUAGGCUUGUUGGCUCCUGGAACGAAUCUCUUUGUCUCCAGUCAUGGCAAUGCCUUUUAAGUGUUUACAAUUCUUACUCUAAGCUGUAGUUUGAACACUUUGUGGUUAUAUGGCCACAACAAAUAGUCUUUGAACAUUUGUUGGGUUGUUCUUCUUGUGCCAGUUUGUAACUUACACCAGUUACACAGUAAAUCAGAAUAAGUAGCUCAUUCUCCAAAAUUUGACCUAAGAGUGAGUUAUUUUUCAGUCAGAUUAGUUCUCCAAUCUGGCUGUUUGUAUGGCUUUGUGAGUAGCUCUGGCAGCGUAAGAGAGAGAAACUUGGGGUAAGAAUGAACAUCUGGACUCGGGUAGUGUGGGAAUGCUAGUUUUGGUCAUGGUACCAGCUUAUGCCCACUUAAUGAUAGUUGAAGUACAGCUUUUCUUUAGCUUAGUUAGCUCUUGAGCAUGGUUGUUUAGUCUGUAGUGUGGUUGUAUUGGUGCAAAUCUUCAUGGACAUGCUUUAUAUUGCAUGUGUAAGUUCUACUAAAUAUUCUGUGCUAAAAUAAAUUGUUAGUUCAGUAACUCAUGCAAGUUAUCAGUGUGUUUUUUGCUAAAGCACUGUAAAUAAGGCUUUAGAUACCUUUCGGAUGGCUGUUUUUUAACAUUGACCAUACAGUCAAUCGUUUGUUGCUUUGGCAGUGCACGGCAGUAUAUAUUGUGUACGUGAUGAGGUGGGUGUAGAAAUAAAAAAGGAACAACUAUCCUAAAGAAUCAAAUCCCAUGAACACAAAGUUGAAGUUUUCAUGUGACACUCAUGCCUGUAUUUUAGUCUGAGCUGUUCUAGUGUGUUGAGUGAGGUUUAUGCAAAACCUGUUUACUGUCUUUUAGAGUAUGUAUGUAUACAGCUUUAAACAGAAAUCAUACUUUCUUAUUUUGAAUUUUGCUUCUGUUGCAACAAGUUGACUUUUCCUUUACAUCCAGUAUACCCAUUUUCUUCUUCCCAACAAAGCACAGACCAAAACAAAAUAAACAAAAUACAGAAUAACUUCAAUUCCUGUUUUUUUUCACUUUUUUGUGUGUUACUAAUCUAACCUAAAAGCUUAGCACAGUCUUAAUACGUAUUUUUUUUAGUUUUGAUAUGUCCUCAAAAAGCAUUUAUCAAUCUCUUGGCAAAACUGUCUUUUGUUACAAUACAGUAUUUUAACUGUGCUCAGUCUCUGUUUGCAUAUGGAUAUGUCUUGUGGCAUUAACAGCAGAUUACUUGCAAGUAGAGAUGUGAUGCAAGGAAAGUCUGAAGUAGCUUGCUUGCAUUAGUGUCUUGAUUUGAAUUGCAGCAGGUGCAAGAAGAGAUUGGGUCAUGAAAUCAGGAAGACUAUGUUCUCUGAAGCUAUACUUCAUUUUUUACCUGAGUAUACAGGACCAGACAUUUGAGAAAGUGGGAAGAACUGCAACUAAAUAUAACUGGAUUCAUCUGAAACCUGGACUUAUCGUGUUCAAAAUACUGUUUCCUUGGAAACAUUCCAUAAAAUUAAACUUGUUUUCAAUUUGAAAUGAAAGACUCAAACUGUCUAUGGCAUAUUUUGACACACUUAAAUAGAGAAAAAAUUUAACAGCUCAUUUCUUAUUGUGAUUGUGUAGACAAUAAAACUCUUGGAUUAGCAUAUUCCUACAAAAUUUUGGUGCAGACUAACCAUAUUAAAGAUGGAAUUUACACACCUUGUUAGUAUGCUGUAUUUCAGACUUUAAAAUCUAGUAUCGGUGAGCACAGAAUAGGAAAAUGUAGGAGGACAUUAUUUGAAUUUUUACAUCCUUGCAAGUUGGUCAGUUGCAAAGCCUCUUAAAAGGUCAUUUAUUCUUAAAAUUCUUACAGAUACCGCAGGUUUUUUCUACUUUUACCUUUUUACUUAGAUACUUAUUUGGCAGUAAAACAAACUGCACCCACUGUAUAACUGACAUUUUUCAGAGUAUGUAUUUUGUUUUUCUUAGUUGUCAGCUAAUUUGAAACAUCAGGAUGUUAUCAGUUGCCUUAUUUAUGGGUGUAAAUGUGUCUUAGUGCUUGGACUCAAUUGUCUUAGGUUCCAUACAGAUAUUUUGGUAACUUAGGCUUCCCCACUGUAUGAUGUUGAGUCAUGUUUUUAAAAUUUGUAGCCUGUAGGUGAAAACAGCAUCCAGAUACCAGCUUGAUGAUUUAUUUUUUUAUCAUCACCAAGACAACUUGGAUUUCAAGGUAUGAUGUAGCAGUUCCCCCAGUUAUACUAUCUUUAACGUAACCUGUAGGCACAGCGAAAGCAGCGAUUUUACUCUUUGCACAUCAAGCUUCUUAAUGAAAUUCGUAGUAGAGAGGCUCUUACUUUUUUUUUAUUACUUGUCUCUAAGUAUUUUAUUGUUCUUUACAAAUAGGAUGGAAUAUUUGUGUAUUUUUUUUAACAAGAGAAAUAAUAUUUAGCACUUGAAUUCAUCUUUAGCACUACAAUUCAUCUUUAGCACUACUAAGUUUUCCAAGGUAUCUGUGAUUUGAUAUAGUUCUUUAGAUUUUUGUAUUAUUUCUUAAGGAACAGGGCAGACAGUAUAUAAUUAUCUGAAUUCUGGUUAUCAUUGACUUCCAUGUUGAAGGAUCUUCCAUACAUCUUCCAUAUAGUGGUUAAAACAAAACAAAACAAAACAAACCCCUGUAUUUUGAAGUAGAAAUCUGAAUUGUGAAUCUUACAUGAAUUCUGUUGUUUGAUUUUUCUCCCCCUCUGCCUGCCCCCCCCCAGCUGUCUCCAGUUCUGUGCUAUCUCUUGUUACUAAUUUUUCUUUCUGUUUGUUUCUGCUUAUUUUUAUAUUUCUCACACUUAGUCUGCUCAGGCAUCCACAUAGAAGCCUUAGACUCCAGCAAAAAUGGGUGAAUUCAGCUCUGAAUGAAAAGAUACUUGAGACUAUUGUUAUUGUGAGGUUGCUGCUUCUUAUAUUUCACUGCAGGGAAGCAUAGGCUUUUCAGUCUAUGAUAGUGAAAAAAGUAGGUAUCAUAAUGCAUGCAUGUUUGGUAUUUACUUUUUGGCAAGAAGUUGAAUCUUAGACUAAUUUUAGACUUCUGUAGUUUUGCAGUAUUCUGAAGAAUUUGUAUGUGGCUUGCAGUUGUGAAGUGCAGACUAGAUGGUAUGCUGAUAUUUUAAAAUGACAACCUGGAACAAGAGUAAAUACAAUUGGAAAUGGAAAAUGAAGAGUACUUAAGAUGCUCUUGCUUCUUUGGUCCUUAAUUCUAAUUUGGACACACUUUAAAUCAGUUUUCAGCUUUAGUCUUUUAUUUUAGUCUGUAAUUGGUUGACUUCAUGUAUCCCAUGACUAGUUUCACACAUUGUUAUUUAUAAUUUUAUGAGCUACUCUGACUUGAGCAGUUUAAUGAGGUGAUGAGUAGCAGCAGGAGAGACCAAAAUGCUCGGAAAGAGGGGUGACUUAAGACAGGUUCUUAGUCCCUCUCCUUCUGUUUGCCUAUGUAAGUAAUCCUGCAGCAGCAGCCAGCGACAUUUAUGCAUGGAGAGCUACAUAGAGGCACUGCAGGUAAGCGGGGAAGAGUCAAGGAAGGCAGCAUCCAAAACACAUCAGUACUGCAUUCUGUCAGGCCAGCCAGAUCACGCCCAUCUUUGGAAGGACCUGCACGUUGGCGGGAGCGUGCUGCUUCCUGGCCUUCACACCUCCCUUCCUUUCCCCAGGGCCAUCGUUUCGGCAUGACAUGGCCUGAAUGGACCUGCUCUUCCUGUCUGUUCACGGCUAUCUCCUAGACAGCACCCAUUUCUGUGACAGUACGUCAGGAACCAAUCAAGAGUAGUUUGAGCCUGCAUUGCACCUGGGUGCCGGCGUGUCUGUCUGUUGUGCUGUGCUUCUGCAUUUUUAUACUGGGCAAAGGGAGGUAGACUUAAACGCAUAGCUCUGCCACUGAGUUCUGCCUGGUCCAGAAAUGCGUAUUAUGGGAACCUUAAGGAAGUGUAUAUGAGGACAAAUUAUAUAAUUCGUCCAACUAAAGCAAGUCUUUCUACCAGUGAUGACUGUGGACCUAAAUAUGAACUACCUUUGUUUAAAAAUCAAAAAAAAGAGAGACUUUUCAAUUUAUGAAGCUCAUAGGUGCCAGAAACAAAAAAUUAAAGCCUUUUUUCUUAACAGUUAUAUGUAGUGUUUU